rnacentral:rRNA from 1 species
GACGAACGCUGGCGGCGUGCCUAAUACAUGCAAGUUGAGCGCUGAAGGUUGGUACUUGUACCCACUGGAUGAGCAGCGAACGGGUGAGUAACGCGUGGAGAAUCUGCCUUUGAGCGGGGGACAACAUCUGGAAACGACUGCUAAUACCGCAUAAAAACUUUAAACACAAGUUUUAAGUUUGAAAGAUGCAAUUGCAUCACUCAAAGAUGAUCCCGCGUUGUAUUAGCUAGUUGGUGAGGUAAAGGCUCACCAAGGCGAUGAUACAUAGCCGACCUGAGAGGGUGAUCGGCCACAAUGGGACUGAGACACGGCCCAAACUCCUACGGGAGGCAGCAGUAGGGAAUCUUCGGCAAUGGACGAAAGUCUGACCGAGCAACGCCGCGUGAGUGAAGAAGGUUUUCGGAGCGUAAAACUCUGUUGGUAGAGAAGAACGUGGGUGAGAGUGGAAAGCUCAUCAAGUGACGGUAACUAAACAGAAAGGGACGGCUAACUACGUG